rnacentral:sRNA from 1 species
GGGAGGCCGGAAGUUGCGGCUUCAUUACUCGCCAUUUCAAAAUGCUGCCGAGGCCCUAGGACCUGUGACUGCCACCCCUCCCCCCACCCGGGCUCGGCGGGGGAGCGACUCAUGGAGCUGCCGUAAGUUUUACCAACAGACUGCAGUUUCUUCACUACCAAAAUGACAUCAUUUUCCACCUCUGCCCAGUGUUCAACAUCUGACAGUGCUUGCAGGAUCUCUCCUGGACAAAUCAAUCAGGUACGACCAAAACUGCCACUUUUGAAGAUUUUGCAUGCAGCAGGUGCGCAAGGUGAAAUGUUCACUGUUAAAGAGGUCAUGCACUAUUUAGGUCAGUACAUAAUGGUGAAGCAACUUUAUGAUCAGCAGGAGCAGCAUAUGGUAUAUUGUGGUGGAGAUCUUUUGGGAGAACUACUGGGACGUCAGAGCUUCUCCGUGAAAGACCCAAGCCCUCUCUAUGAUAUGCUAAGAAAGAAUCUUGUCACUUUAGCCACUGCUACUACAGGUAUGUCACAUCAUAUUUCUUCAGUCUGUAUCACAGCUUUGAGUUCAAGGGGGCAAAUGAUGGGAAAACAAAGAAGAAGAAGGUGGAAAUGGAAUGCUAUCUUUGGCAUGACUGGGAGAAAUACAUACUACCUGUCACACAGAAUGUUAUGUUAUUAACUUUUUACUGAAAAAUCAAACAUAGAGUAGAAGGAUUUCCACUUUCUAGAUGUACUGUUAACGUUUUGUCAUAUUGCUUCAUCUAGACACACUUCUAAAAAUCUCUAGCAGAUAAGGACUUUUUUCUCCAAACAUUCAAUAUCAUUAUUACACAUAACAAAUUUAACAUGUAAUUCCAUAAUCCUAUUUCAUAGCCAGUUUAUGUAUCAUUUCCCCCAGUUAUCUCAAAAAUACCUUGUAUUUUUG